CAGGGUAAGGGCGAUAAGGUACGCCACCUCGUUUGGGGCGAGGAAAUCUUUAGAGUUCGAAUCUCUAUACCCUGACCA
rnacentral:tRNA from 1 species